GAUUAAAUGGCUGAAGUUUAGGCGAUAAAUUGUAAAUUUAUUUAUGGGAGGUAUCUCUUUAAUCA
rnacentral:tRNA from 3 species